rnacentral:rRNA from 1 species
AGGACGAACGCUGGCGGCGUGCUUAACACAAUGCAAGUCGAGCGAUGAAGCUCCUUCGGGAGUGAAUUAGCGGCGGACGGGUGAGUAACACGUGGGUAACCUGCCUCAUAGAGGGGAAUAGCCUUUCGAAAGGAAAGAUUAAUACCGCAUAAGAUUGUAGUACCGCAUGGUACAGCAAAUUAAAGGAGUAAUCCGCUAUGAGAUGGACCCGCGUCGCAUUAGCUAGUUGGUGAGGUAACGGCUCACCAAGGCGACGAUGCGUAGCCGACCUGAGAGGGUGAUCGGCCACAUUGGGACUGAGACACGGCCCAGACUCCUACGGGAGGCAGCAGGUGGGGAAUAUUGCACAAGUGGGGGAAACCCUUGAUGCAGCAACGCCGCGUGAGUGAUGACGGCCUUCGGGUUAGUAAAACUCUGUCGUUUGGGGACGAUAAUGACGGUACCCAAGGAGGAAGCCACGGCUAACUACGUGCCAGCAGCCGC